UACGUAGGGUCCGAGCGUUGUCCGGAAUUACUGGGCGUAAAGAGCUCGUAGGUGGUUUGUCGCGUUGUCCGUGAAAACUCACAGCUCAACUGUGGGCGUGCGGGCGAUACGGGCAGACUGGAGUACUGCAGGGGAGACUGGAAUUCCUGGUGUAGCGGUGAAAUGCGCAGAUAUCAGGAGGAACACCGGUGGCGAAGGCGGUUCUCUGGGAAUGUCCUGACGCUGAGGAGCGAAAGUGUGGGGAGCGAACAGG
rnacentral:rRNA from 1 species